GAUGAACGCUGGCGGCGUGCCUAAUACAUGCAAGUCGAGCGAACAGACGAGGAGCUUGCUCCUCUGACGUUAGCGGCGGACGGGUGAGUAACACGUGGAUACCCUACCUAUAAGACUGGGAUAACUUCGGGAAACCGGAGCUAAUACCGGAUAAUAUAUUGAACCGCAUGGUUCAAUAGUGAAAUACGGUUUUGCUGUCACUUAUAGAUGGAUCCGCGCCGCAUUAGCUAGUUGGUAAGGUAACGGCUUACCAAGGCAACGAUGCGUAGCCGACCUGAGAGGGUGAUCGGCCACACUGGAACUGAGACACGGUCCAGACUCCUACGGGAGGCAGCAGUAGGGAAUCUUCCGCAAUGGGCGAAAGCCUGACGGAGCAACGCCGCGUGAGUGAUGAAGGUCUUCGGAUCGUAAAACUCUGUUAUUAGGGAAGAACAAAUGUGUAAGUAACUAUGCACGUCUUGACGGUACCUAAUCAGAAAGCCACGGCUAACUACGUG
rnacentral:rRNA from 1 species